rnacentral:siRNA from 1 species
UCAUCGACAAAGACGACCCGUAGU